GACGUAGGGCGCGAGCGUUGUCCGGAUUUAUUGGGCGUAAAGAGCUCGUAGGCGGCUUGUUGCGUCGACUGUGAAAACCCGCGGCUCAACCGUGUGGCUUGCAGUGGAUACGGGCAGACUAGAGUGCGGUAGGGGAGACUGGAAUUCCUGGUGUAGCGGUGGAAUGCGCAGAUAUCAGGAGGAACACCGAUGGCGAAGGCAGGUCUCUGGGCCGCAACUGACGCUGAGGAGCGAAAGCAUGGGGAGCGAACAGG
rnacentral:rRNA from 1 species